UUCAUACUCGUGACUGUCACGUGAUGAAGUCAGCUGAAGCGGAGUAACACAAAAGCAAGGAAAACAAAAAUGUCAACUAAAGAAACAGAGAAAACUCCGCUGUUCAGAACCUAUGACGAACCCGAAGUGGAGCUCGCGGGGUGUGGGGCGACGCUACCAUGCAACCCAAAACGAGGGCUUCAUCGAUAUCUUAUCCUCAUUAUUAUGUGCUUCCUAAGUUUUGGGAGCUACUUUUGUUACGACAACCCUGCAGCCCUACAGGAUAACAUGACACGAGACCUGGGUAUCUCAGUGAGCCAGUUCAUGGGGUUUUACGCCUGGUACUCGUGGCCCAAUGUGAUCCUCUGCUUCUUUGGAGGCUUUCUCAUUGACCGGGUCAUGGGUGUGCGACUGGGAGCUGUCAUCUUCAGCUUGUUUGUGACUGCUGGACAGGUUGUUUUUGCUCUAGGAUCCUUUACGAACAAGUACUGGCUGAUGUGUGCUGGGAGAUUUAUAUUUGGAAUUGGCGGUGAGUCCCUCGCAGUGGCCCAGAACACGUAUGCUGUGAAAUGGUUUCAAGGGAGGGAACUCAACAUGGUGUUUGGACUGCAGCUGAGCUUUUCUAGAGUGGGUAGCACUGUGAACAUGAAUGUAAUGCAGCCCCUGUACACCUUUAUAGAGAAGUGGUCUACAGGAUACAAGUGCCUGGGCAUUGCACUGCUUGUUGGUGCUGUGAUGUGUAUACUGUCACUGUUGUGUGCCCUGGCACUGGGCUACUUUGACAAGAGAGCUGACCGGGUCUUAAAGAGAGCCAAGAUUUCAACUGAUGAGAUGAUACGCAUCAGGGACGUGAAAGACUUUGGCUUCAAGUUUUGGCUGCUCUGCGUCAUAUGUGUGGCGUACUAUGUGGCAGUGUUCCCUUUCAUUGGGCUGGGACUUGUUUUCUUUGAGAUGAAGUUUGGUCUAGAACCCGGUACAGCCAACACUGUGAACAGUUUGGUGUACAUCAUAUCAGCAAUUGCCUCCCCUGUGUUUGGGUUCCUCAUUGACAAGAUUGGCAAGAACGUGUUUUGGGUGAUACUGGGUAUCACUGUUACCAUCGGGUGCCACGCCCUUAUGGCCUUUACAUUUGCCACACCGUUUGCAGCUAUGGCCAUUCUAGGUCUAGCCUACUCCGUGCUGGCCAGUGCCCUGUGGCCCAUGGCCUCCAUGGUGGUGAAACAACACCAGCUGGGAACCGCAUACGGCAUAAUGCAGGCCAUUCAGAAUCUUGGUCUGGCCACGAUAGCCAUCGCCGCGGGCAGCAUAGUCGACACCAAGGGAUACCUCAUACUAGAAGUCUUUUUCCUAGCAUGGCUGUGCAUUGCGCUGAUAGCUGCAGUGUUGCUGUACCUGAUUGAUGAAGCCCAAGGUGGAGUACUCAACAAGUCAGCAGGACAGAGGAAAGCAGAACGGGAAAAGCUGGAAGAGGAGCAGAACAGAGAGUGAGUGGUGUAGCAGUAGAACAGAGAGUGAGUGGUGUAGUAAUAAAACAAAAGAAAGGCGGCCAUCAACUGAGUGAUGGAGGUCUUCAAGUAGGCGAUCACAUUCCUAUGCAAUCUGUCAUCAUUAGUCAGGUCCAACUGACAAGACAUGCACAGAAUAAGACACAAGAAUUAAAAAGGAGACAAACGUUCUUUAUCUUUGUUACCUCUCAGGUUUCAAUACUCAAACUUUACUUUUUGUUUUUAGCCCAAAUAAUUAUUUUUUAUGAUAUACAGCCUUUUAGUCAUAAUUAGUGACUCUAAAUUUUUGUACAGUGUAUUUGACAAUGCUUUUUUUACCAUCCCUGUUGCGCCUAUCUGGUGACACUUCAAUCAUGGGUUUUAUAAGCAGAUUAAGCUGUAUACUGAUAAAAUAUUAUUGUUUCUUCCAACAGCUUAUAGUGACACAUUUAUAAAUGUAAUUCAUACUACAGUGUAUAUGAUGCAGUAUUUUAGCAGCAUGUGCUAUCAUUUGUUGAAACAAUUGGCGCUAUAUAAACUCCAUACCCGUAACCAAUUGUCAAAGCAAUAUUUCAAGUGUCUCUAAAUUUAUUAACACCUGUUUUUGUGUGUCUCUGAAUGUUUGGAAAAAACUGUAUUUUUUCAAUAUUUUUUGUCUAAAUUUUAUUACACAAAAACCUGUAAUUAUUUUUAAGUGUCCAAAAUUUAAUAGUAAUUACGAAUAUUUAUUUUUUCAUUAUUAUAUGUAGGUUAUGUUUAAUUAAUUAAAUAUGUCUCUGGUAUAAGUUUUUUUCUGUGUUGGUUUUUGUUUAUAGGUUAUAUUAAAGUAACAUAAAUAAAAUCAACGAAAAUUUGGUGAAAUAUUUAGUAAAAUAAAGUUAAUCCAUAAACAAUCAGUGUUUCUUCUAGCAAUAUCCAUAAUUUCAACGCUAGAUGUGGUAUGGUAACAUACAUUUAACAAGAUACAUUAUUUUUUUCGACACUAUAUUUCAUGAUAAUUUCCCACCAACAUAUCCGAACAUUUAUGAGCGAAAGCGAGACUGGUUUAAGACAGCGUCAGAAGAACGACGUAUUCAUGAGAACUACGUUGUGCUUCCAAAGCUGCCCAAAGCCAAUCUUGCGUUACCUCGUAAAUGUUCGGAUAUCAUAGCCCGAAAUUCACAUUUUACACAAAAAAAUUAAAUAAUCAUUUUGUAUUGUGUUAAAUCAAUGUUACCAAACCACAUCUUGAGUUGAAAUUUUGGCUAUUGCUAUAAGGAGCAUUGAUUUUUUAUGUGUUAACUUUUUUUCCAAAAUAUUUCAGGAUAUAUUGAUCGAUUUUAAGUGUUUAUGGGCUUUAAAUAUUUAUCCUGUUCAUUUUUUUGUUAAUAAUUUAGUCACUUUUUUUUAUCAAGGUGAAGUUUAUUAUUUAUAGGAUGUGUUUAUUUGUACUUGUUUUGUUUUUGUUCAUAUUAAAUAAUAUUUCUUUUAGGAUUAUUCUUUCUUCAAUUCACUUAUCCAUGGUUUACAUAAUGACACGUGUGUAUGCCGUAUAUGCUUAAACAUUUUGGUAUACAAGGAAAUACCAAAGCUAGACACAAGUACCUAUGCCUAUGUAACUACCGUAUGCUUAUGAUAUUUACAUUAUGUUAUCUGAGCAUUAUUGUUUGCAUUAGAACAUCUGGAUUAUGUAACAGUAAUUUACAACAGUUUUUUAAAGCAAUUAAAAUAUAAUUAUUAUUUUUUGCUUUGUGUAAGGCUUUGUGUUAGGCUUGGUGAAUUAAUGAAGCAAAAUAAAAACAUGAUUCCGAGAAUCAGAUCUUUGGUUAAAAAUUUAUAAAUUAAUAUAAGUCCUAUUGGAUUCGCUCUGCUGCUUUGUUAGUAGUUAGCUAUUGUUAGAAGAUUUGUUUUAAACUGGAACUGUAAAAACAUCUUCAUAUAACACAUGUUAGUUCAUAUUUAUUAUUUUACAAAAUCACAAAUUUUACGCCAAAAAAGCAGAUUUGAAGAUUUUGUAUUGGUUUAAAAUUAUGAAAUUGACAUUCACGAAAUUGCUGUCCAUUAAUCAUACUAAUUGGUGCUAGUAACGUUAUGUAAAAUACUUCAUACUACCGUAUGUAAGGCAAUCUUUGUAAAUUACAAGGCAUUUGAGGAACCUUUUUUUCUUGCUUUAUUUAGUUUCAGUUUAUUUAAGAAAUAUAAAUUUCAAAUUGUACAUGCAUUGCUAAUACAAAUAUAAGCAUGUUAAUUGCUUGUUUUGUUGUAUAAACAAUAAAAGCAAUUAUAUAAUCCAUUUGAUUUAAAGAAUCGUGAACUAGAUUAACUAUAUUUUGAUGAUAGAUAAUUAUAUAUACUUGUGAAACACAAAAUUAAAGUAAAUUAAGAGAAGGAUUUUAUGUAUGAUGUUCCACAAAUUUUACCUCAGGCUUGUUCAAAUAUCACUGCUUUAUAAUAGCAUGAUGUGAAUUGUGAAUAAACAAUGCAUUUUUCACGCAUGUACACCAUUUUUUCUUCCAAGGUAAAAUGUAUAAUAAAUAUUUAUGAUUCAUGUUAUAAUUAACAUCAACAGUUCACAGUUAUAAUUUAUAUAAAUUAUUUAAUUAAAAUACAAAAAAGUACAAUAAUUGUAAAUACAUUAUUAAAAUAUACAAAAACAA